GGCCCCGUAGUUCAAUGGAUAGAACACCAGCCUUCUAAGCUGGAUAUCUAGGUUCGAUUCCUAGCGGGGUCACCA
rnacentral:tRNA from 1 species